UUUAAAACUAACAUUAGCGAAUGUGAUUGCAUGGUGCACGGAUCUGUCAAAUUUGUUCUCAGCCGCAGUCCCGAAACAUAUCAUUAUCGUGUGCUGUGUGAGCAAAGCUGGGCUUGGCUUUCAUGUGACUGAGCUCUAAAUUAGUUUAUGGGUAAUGUUCCUUUACAAUGUGUUCAAUCUUUUGCUCCAUCUUAUCUUAAUGAGUACUUAACCUCUUAAAAAUAGGUUGCAGCCAGAGAGACUGAAAACAGAGUAUUAAAGGCUCCAAGAAAACCACAGGAAUGAACGUCCUUGCUCAGGUAGCUCUGUCCUCCCUGAACACAACUUCUUUAGAGGGCAGUUUACAAAGUUUUCAGCUGCACAGGAAAAAAGUAAUGCCUGUUGCAUUCAUUUAAAAACUCAUUUGUAAUUAGAUGUUAACAGUGAUUUGUUUCUACUUUUUAUAAAUAUGUAGGGAAAAUCAUGGACCGACAAAGGUACUCUUCUUCUGGAAAGCUCCACGGUUCCUGUAUUUUAACCUCAACAGUUUGGUUUUGGAUACCUUUUAAAGAAUGUGUACGCUCAGAAACUUUUCAAACUGGAAAUGGUGCUUUAUAAAAAGUAACUAAGAUCCGAACCCAAAGUUGGCAGUUUCCUGGCCAUCAGCUGGUCUGCGUGCGCUGCAGCCCACGGCAGGGUUUUAGCAUCUGACCACGCUUUAGGCGCGGGAUCAGGGCUGAAUUCUGGCUACACCCCAGAGCAACCGCUCUCACCACCCACUUCUGCUGGAAGGCUGGAAACCUCAGGAAACAUCGUAUGUUUUGGCCUGACCCCGGGUGGGUGCUGGUGUCCUCCAGGCACCCGCACGCCAGAGGUGCUGCAGGGCUCCUGCUGCAGCCGGGGCAGCCGGUGCCGUUCGUGCCUCGCAACAGGAGCAGCCACUCUCGGACCCGGAACUCAGACAGCCUCCAUUUUACAGUACAGACAGAGCUGCAGCACAUGUUAAAUAAAAUAAUCGUCUCAUUUAAUCCCCUUACAUCCCUGGAGAAGCCCAGGAGCAGGCUCCGGAGCAGCGCAGCCACUGGAUUUGUGCCACCGCAGCAGCACCUUGUAAAACUUUCCAGCAAACAGCAAACAAGAAGAGAGCCUGACGCAUCCAGGGGCUGCGGCUUUGGGAAGAAUCCCAUAUAUGCUGAGGCUCUGACCAACAUGAUGAGAUCUGGCAGCAGCAAGACCGUGCUCUAAAGCAUAAACGAAGCAAGCAAAAAGCACCAGAGAGGCAGAGGGAAGGAUGGAAAAGUGACAGGAGAGUAAAGAAAUGCC
rnacentral:lncRNA from 1 species